rnacentral:lncRNA from 1 species
UUCGUGAUUUUUUCUGUAUCUAACACUCUCAUGCCUUAAUUAGCAUUUGCGAUGUCAUAGUUUUUCUCUCAUUAUCCAAUCAAAUAUUUAUUGAUCCCUUUUAGCUAGAAAAUAUGGAAACCAAGAAUAGGAAGCUAGGCCGCGUAAGGUGGACGUGAAUGAUAUCAGUCUAGGCUUCGUUUGGAGGUAAGGAUACAUUAACUAAUCUCUAAAUC